rnacentral:hammerhead_ribozyme from 1 species
AUCCAACUUACGAGUCCGAAAUAGGAUGAAACGCGCGUCCUGGGU